AUCACGUCGCCUGUUUAUCAAAAACAUGUCUAUAUGAAGUUAUAUAAAGUCUAACCUGCCCACUGAAUUUUUUUAAAAGGCCGCGGUAUAUUAACUGUGCAAAGGUAGCAUAAUAAUUAGUUUUUUAAUUGAAGACUUGAAUGAACGGUUGAACAAAGAAAAAGCUGUCUUUAAUAUUUUCUUUGAAUUUUACAUUUAAGUGAAAAGGCUUAAAUUAAUUUAAGGGACGAUAAGACCCUAUAAAUCUUUACAUUUAUUUAAUAUUUAUUAAUUAAGUUGUAAAUUUAUUAAUAUAUUGAAAUAUGUUAUAUUGGGGUGAUAGAGAUAUAAUAAAAAACUGUCUUAAUAAAAAACAUAAAUAAUUGAGCUUAAAUAGAAGAUCCUUCAUAAAGAUUAAAAGUUUAAGUUACUUUAGGGAUAACAGCGUAAUUUUUUUUGAGAGUUCAUAUCGAAAAAAAAGUUUGCGACCUCGAUGUUGAAUUAAAAUUUCUUUAUGAUGCAGAAGUCAUACAUAGAAAGUCUGUUCGACUUUUAAAUUUUUACGUGAUCUGAGUUCAGACCGGA
rnacentral:rRNA from 1 species